rnacentral:rRNA from 1 species
UACGGGGGGAGCAAGCGUUGUUCGGAUUUACUGGGCGUAAAGGGCGCGUAGGCGGCCACCGCAAGUCGACUGUGAAAUCUCCGGGCUUAACCCGGAAAGGUCAGCCGAUACUGCGGGGCUAGAGUGCAGAAGGGGCAACUGGAAUUCUCGGUGUAGCGGUGAAAUGCGUAGAGUAUCGAGAGGAACACCUGCGGCGAAGGCGGGUUGCUGGGCUGACACGUGACGCUGAGGCGCGAAGCUAGGGGAGCGAACGGG